CCUACACAUCGAUCAUUCAGUAACGUUAACAUAGGUCUAUGUUAAUCUUUCACUUGCAACAUUAGCGAUGAUCCCAUUUCUAUUUCCAAUCCGAUAACGUACAUCUAUCCUUAGCAGUGUGCUGGAGUUAAAUGUUACUGCAAAUCACGAAUGAAAUUAACUCUUUAAUGUUCACUUAAGUUUGAUUGCAAACUGAUUUCUGUUUUAAUGUAGCAAGUGCUAACGUUUUAGUAUGCUUGCUAAAACCACUGCAAUCUGGAAACCAACCCCCACUCAAGGGAAAAAGCUGAGAGCUAUUCAAGGUAGGUUUUCGGAGAACACGUUGCUAAAAGGUAACUUUCCACAGCAGUUUCAAGCCGACCACUGGGCAAACUACACCUAGCUCAAGAUCAUCGGGACAAGUCCAGACGAGACCCAGAGGACAGACCAGAUCAGAGGGCCAGCAGCAGAGGCAGCAGCAGAGGAGCUCACUCGCCUGCUGACUCAUCUCAGUCAGGGGCCACCAACCAUUUGGGAUAUUGCCUUCAUCGCGCCUCUCCACUCACCACUGCCCCCAGAAUGGCCCUUUGGCAGUCAUUUGCCUAUUUGUCACCAGGAAGGAGCCUAAUUGAGAAAGAAGUCUUAUCAGUCCCAAAUUGUGUUAAGUGAGACUUUACCCACCACACCCCCACCCACUGGCCUGCUCUGUGGAGUAAGGGCUCAACACCUCAGUAGUAGACACUGGCUUGCUGGGUCAACUGGCUGACUCCAUGCUCUGCAGUGCUGUGUGUGUGUGUGUGUGUGUGUGUUGCUAUGACAAGCCAUGAAACACUUAAGUGACAUUUUAAGACUGGUUGCCAGGAAGGACCACACGUUGUUGUUGUUUUUUUUUUUCAAUUUCGCACCAGAAGCCUUUCAGAUAGGGCUGAGAGAGGUUAUACGUAGAAAGCUCUAGAGCACUAUCGGAGCCCAUCUGUGUUGCAUUGAGUUGACCUGAUAAAAGUGGGUAAAAUGCCCAGUUUAAUCUGGCAUUCAUACUACACAUUAUAAAAUAAGCAGUCACAUACAAGAACGAUUUUAUUUUGCUUUCUACCUCCUGGAAAGACAACCAUGACAUUUUGCUUGUAGAAAAUUCGACAUAUUUCUGUGGCAGUCUCCAAGCAACCAAAGUACACAAAACCAAAACAGAGAGUCACUACUACAGCAACUCUUAAAAGUUAAAAAAGAGAGAAUGGACCACAUAAACGCAAAUACUGGUGAGCUGACAGAUCUAUUUUAUGGCUGGGACACUUUGAAAAGAAGAAGGCCGUAAAACUGCAGUAAUUUCCAUCACAAUGGGAUGUCACAAGCCCCUUUCUCUCUUUGAGAUGGUAAUUUGUGGACCGAGGUGGUGUUUGAUGACCAGAACUCCAUAAUAACAGUCCAUUGAUAUAAAAAAGGAGCUCUCCAGGGUUGUGGCAUGGACCCUUGACUGCCACACUCUCACCCCUGUGAAAAUGAAUUCAACAAUAGCACCAGGGAUAAACGGAAGGAACUGAAUUAUACUUCUAUGGUUUUCACGCUGCAUCAGAAAUACUAGAGUUCACUCUAAACACAAAGUAUUACAACGUCGACCAAAUGGGUACAGAGCCUUCGGAACAAGAAUUUCAAUUAAAACUCGGAACUGAGUUGGCUGCCUCAGCACAAGCAUUUUCUUGUCGUUGGCAAUUUUUAGUCCUCCAUAAUAUGGCUUGCAGGGACAAUUAAAAAAAAAAAAUGAAAAUGAAGAACUCUCUUGUGGAAAUGUAAUUACCUCUGAAUGCUUGCUAUAAUUACCCAUUCAAAAAUACACUGACAGGAUCGCUGCGGAGCUCAAGCUGACUGCAGUGGUAUUGUGGCACAGAGAGAGAGGGAAAAAGAUGAGCCAUGCAGUGAGAUACAGAUGACUCAGUCACAAAUUGGCAUUGUGACGACAAACGUGUCACAUCUGUCCUCCACAUCUGUCCUAAUUCAUUACUGUCGUAAAUGAGCGACGUGGAGGGUGCUCAGUGUUUAAGCAGGACCGGUGAACUGGCAUCCCGACCUCAUCAGAUUGCUGACUGUGUUCAUUCAAGAUUUCCCUCAUCGGUCAACAUGGUCAUUUCUAAAUGCUUCUCUCUCCCUCUAUUUUCAGAGGAUGAUUCAGCACUCUCUCCUCCCUGCUGCACUGUCCUUUCUGCUUCUACUGGCCAGAAGCCCUGAUGAGAACAGUGACCUAAGGAGUCGGAGGAGGAGGAGGAGGAGGAGGAAGAGGAGGUGGACCAAAGAAAGAGAAAUUAGACGGCAUUAUU